UGCCAGAAUAUUCCACAUGACCACAGACAUUCCUUCCUCUGGUUCUUACACGACAAAGAGCAGAGGGGUUGUUCGACAUUUCUGAACCUCACCCAUCUUCCCCAGGACCAAGACCUUGGCAGGCCACCACUACAGAGAAAGCAACAGUUCUAAUCUGAUGCAACAGGGAUGAGAUUUGCGAGAACUUUCCAGUGCACACCCUCACUGGGGACCCGAGAGAAUACCCCAGGAAUGGGACAGCACCGAAGAGGCAGACAAGUUGCUCAGGAAGGGUAUGAUCAGGAGGAAGCAAAGGAAAACUGUUAGCAGGAAGAGAAGCCUGAAGAGCUUAACAACAAGUAAAGAGAGACUUGGCAGAAAUCCGAACCCUGGGACUACCUUGGAACUCCUCCCCUGUCUGAUGUGUGUGUGUUUAACAACAAUGUGAGAAAUACCUUCCAGGUCUUUUCUUGCUGGCUCUGCGAAGAGGAAGCCACCCAGCAUUGUGAGCACUGCACAGCGUCUGCUUGUGUGCAAACCCGCAGGCAUUUUUAGCAACUUUGGGGAGCAGAAAGAAAAGCUGUUGGUUUUGUUUGCACAUAUUUCUCGCCUCUGCAGAAGGCUCCUUGCCACCCGGCAGCCUCUGAGCUGCCACUUAGGAGUGAUGUCUCCAUAGCUCCUGCCUGCAAAGCUGCAGGUAGCAUGUUGGUUUGCCUGCUCUCCUCCCAACACCCUCAUCUGGAAAUAAAUCUUAUCAUAAGGUCAUAAAGGCCCUUGCC